GCGAGACAUUCGUGAUUCAUUAAUUGUAUACUUAGAACAUUGAUAAAUCAUAAUUGAAAUAUUUUAACCAGUGGCUGCCACCUGGAACAGGACUAUACUGAAUGAACAUAUAACUUUGCUCCUAACAAACGGUAACAAUCAUAUUAGCUAAAUCAAGUCCCAUUACACACGACUCCAUAGAUCGGAAUUACAAUAUAGGACUGAUCCAUUCUUCAUUUCUUCUCAGAAGAAUGUGGCUUUCACAUUGUAGGAUCUACAAUUCAUGACAAAAAGUAAGCAUUCAACAUUCACAUGUAAUUAUUUCCAAGGGUUCAAUAUAGCAAUCUCUACCAUCUAAAAGGCUGACUCAGCUACACAUACAUGAAUAAUUCUGCAUUUAGACUACUAAAAUAAUAAUAUGGUAACCUGAUAUGCGUGGAUUGUCUAGGACCAAAUAUUUACAAUUUCAGACAAACAUCGAAGCUCAGUCAUCAGAUGAUCUGAAUCAGGCCUCUAUAGUUAGAUCUGGUACAGAUAAAUGUAAUGAAUCUGAGCUUAGAUUGAACAUUUGCUUUGAAGUACGCUCACUUUUAUGAUGAACUCUCACUGAUUUAUUUGGAAUUUUAUGAACGUGAUUGGCCCCAAAAUAUCUUCAAUUCAAACGGCUGUUCCCAUUUCUUGAGACUUGACUAGUUCUUCAAUGCAAUGUUCUUGUUCAAAACCAAGGUAACAAUCAGAAAUUAACAUCAAUUUUGUCCCCUGUAAAGUGGUCAAGGAUGAUGGUAUAUCCAUGCGAGUAACCAAGUGAUCAGAGAAAGAAACUCUCUUCAGAGCAUAUAGUUCAGAGGUGGAUGAGUUGCCAAGAACUAACCACCAUGCUUCAUCUUUUACCUUAGGAAAUCGAGGGACAAAAGCCCUUGAUGUGCCUUUCCUGGAGUUUGUCUUCUCCAAUUUGAUGUUCAGGGAAAGAGACUGUUUGCCAUCAGUGUCCGUCUUCUGAAGUUUUAACUUUGUUUUAAUGGAGGGAAAAUGAUGCAGAUCCUGAUACAAUCUUGAAGCAGGAAAAUUUCCAAUCAUAGCCUGCAAAGUUGCCUUGGGAAGAUCCAACAGAUGCUGCACAGUGGAGAUUCCUUUUUUGUUCAAUGAUGACAAAAGAUCAGUAUUCAUGCAUGGCAACAUCCACAGGGAAGAAUCUUUUUCAAACCACAGACCCUGCAUGACCAUUUGCAAAAGAUGCAUGCAAGUAAUUGAGCUUAAAAGCCACCCACUAUUGGCACAAAUAUCUAUCAUGGCCUGUAUGAUACGUAUACUUUGAUCUAACACUGAUUUCAAAUCUGUCACAUAAUCACUGAUGGGUAACUCUAACUGGGAAAAAUGAGCCUGAAAUAGCAGAUUUGCUUUGACAUGUGGAUCAUCUAAGCGAUUCUUGUCCACCAUAUAUCGAACUCUCUGAGACAAUGCUUCAUUAUAAUUUUCCUCGUUAUGCCGCACAGGAAGUUCAUCAUAUUCAGAAGCACCAGAUAGAAUAUGCAAAAACACUUCAAGAGAUGUAUCUGGCCCUAUAUUUGAUCCAAACAUUGAAACAGUCAUGUAGCUAAGGUAAUACUGUGAUGCUAUCAUGCCCAACAUCAUAGACUCCACAUUGUCUUCAUUCAUCUUGAUGCACCCACUGUCUUCCAGAUCCUCAAAUGUGUUUUGCACUAAUCUAGACAUAUAAGAACUCAGAGUUUCAGGUUCUGCAUUCUCUAGACCAUAGUAGGCGGGAUUAACCAUCAGUCUACGGAAUAAGUAAGUCCAUGUAAGGUAAUGCACUGCAUCCUCUUUAUGGCAAAUUGUGCCAGUAACUAUCUCUGCAUUGAUGUGAUCAUGCAGCUGCUCCUUUAGACUACUCUCAACAGGAAAUGGUUCGUACAAAAACUUUUUAUAGAAGCUCUUCUUAGGUUCAUGAACAAGAAUGACAGCUUUUCCAUGCUGAUCAUAUUGUGGGCGGCCUGCACGACCCAUCAUUUGCAAGAUAUCUGUGAUGGGAAAAUCAACGUAUCUCUUUGUCUUUCCAUCGUAAUAUUCUGUUCCCUUGAUAAUAACCAGAUGAGCAGGAAGAUUCACCCCCCAAGCAAGUGUGCUUGUGCACACUAACACCUGGAUCUUGUUGUUUGCAAAAAGUUCCUCAACCAGAGAUCUGUCUUUGUCAUUUAGUCCUGCAUGGUGUAACCCAAUGCCAAAUUGUAAGGUGUGUCUCAGGUUCUGAUCAGUGAUCUGAGAAAGAACCAUCUGCAAUGCUUCUUCUGUCAUACUCAGAAAUUGCCUUGGAUGCUCAUCUGCCGCUGCAAACUGAAUAAGGUCAAGUGCAGUAAGCCUCGUUUGGCGACGAGACGAUACAAAUAUGAGUACUGGCUUUAUAGGUGAAUGGGUACAUAUUGCAGCGUAUGCUGGUUUGUUCAUGCUAUUCAUCCUUGGGCAGUAAUACUUCCCAGGAUAUCCCUGGAUAUGUACUUCCAGAGGCACAGGCCUUACACUUGGCUUGAAAUUGAAAAGUCCAAUUUCACCAACUCCCAACCAAUCAGACAAAUCUCCUGCAUUUGCCAAAGCUGUUGAAAGACCUACAAAACGUACUGCCCGCUCUGUUUGGGAUGAUAUGUAUCUCAUCCUUGAAACAAUAACCUCAAGGAUAGGUCCACGAUCAGCACCCAAUAAGUGAAUCUCAUCCAAAAUCAUAAGCCCAACCUUCGUCACAUAGCUUCGAGUAUGCCAAUUACGACUAAUACCAUCCCACUUCUCAGGGGUAGAUAUGAUGAUAUCUGCUGACAAGAGGGCCAUCAAAUCUGGAGUAUAAUCUCCAGUCAUUUCAACCAUCUCUUUUCCAAGCUGAGAGACGAGACGUUUUCUCCAAUCAUUCAUUCUCUCUCGUACAAUAGCCUUCAAAGGUGCUAUGUAAAUAACCUUCAUAUCAGGCUGAGUAUUGAAGAGACGAAGCAUAGCAAGUUCAGCAGAUAUAGUUUUCCCACUACCAGUGGGAGCUCCUAACAAAACAUUGGUGUCUGUGUGAUAAAGGACAUGAAAAAUCUGUGUUUGUAUAGGAUUAAAAUGUGAAAAAUUGUAUAAAGCUUCAUAUGUAGUGUUUCCAAGUGACGUCACAGGGAGAGGUUUUAGAUCUAGAAGUUCAGUAUGCAUAGUACGAGCCUCUGGCAGUGCUAGAUUAUGGAAUGAAAUAGUGUAGAAAGCUUCCGCAUGCAACCAAGAAUCAGAAACAGCACGAAUGUAGUAUUGUGGUGGAUGUGGUUCAAAAAUUGGCACAGUAAAUGUGAGCUUCUGAGGAUCUGCCCGUGCCAUGCGCUUUGUCAAAGUGAAAAGCUCUGAAUGGUAGAUAUGAUCAUUCUCAGAAUCCUCAACAAGAAUCCACCAACGUUGUGCAGCACCAUGAAAACGAUCUUUCCAAAUGAAGUCUGGAGUUAUGAGCAAAUUCACCUUCAAAACAGUCCUGGUUAUUGGACUUACGGUUGCCGAUAACUGGAUCCACGGGAAGUACCCUAAAUAUUGCUUAAUCAACUUCCCUCCAUGGGGAUAACGAAUAAGUGCUCCAAUAUCUCUUUCCUCCAUCUCCUGUAGACGAUCUAAAUCAGCACCCCGUUCUUCAAGCUUCCGCAUUAUUUCUGCUGAAAGAUCCUUGUCAAAUUGUCUAAGUGGAUGUUGGUGAGGCCAAAUUUGGCGAUCUACAGCCUUGCAAUAUUCUAACAUGAAUAAGGACAUCUCACUCCAGCCUCUGCGCAAACAAAUUUCAAAUAAUGCACGCAUGAUUCGAGCCAAGCUCGCACUUAUGUAUGCAGCAUCAGAGACCAACGAAAAUGUAUCAAUCGAGCCGCGAGAUAUGUACAACUGAAUGAGAAUUGAAAUUUUUCCGUGUUUAUUGGAAGGACCACCCCUAACUUCAAGAGGGCAUGACAUGCGCAACAACAUCUCAAGCUCAUUCUGCUCUUCCUCUCUAACAACAAUAUUCUCAAACUCAGAAGAAUGGGCAACCAUGUCGAUAACCUCACUAUCAUUCAUAUGACGUCUCAACAUCUCAUUGUAAGUUUCAACACUAGAAUAUUGGAUAUAGAAGUGGCUUGCUAUGCGGCCAAGCUCUGUACAGUAGAAGUUGCCACUUUUCUCAUCAAAACGCAUCAUUUUAGCUUUGUCAAGUGCACGUGCAGCAUCUGUUAUGAGAGCUCUCUGCUUUAAACUCAAAGAAGGAUCUGCAAUAACCUCAUCCCAUCCAAUACCAUAUGCCAAAGGAUUCUGCCUCAUCCUGAUGAAAAGGUAGGUAUACCCGAGCCAUGCACAGGCUUCCUUGACAUUAGUGACAGUACCCAAUGCCACUUCUGCAUUUAAAUUAUCUUUUAAGGAGCUAAUAAACUGACUUUCUAUGGGAAGUUGACUUGUCAGCAAUCUUAGAUAGUAGGCCAGUUUGUCAUGAGACGUGAUUAUAAUGCCUUCACCACUCUUGUCAAAUUGAGGUCUCCCAGCCCUUCCAAAGAUCUGCAUAACAUCAAGCAUGCCUAGGUCUCGCCACCCACCAGCCUUAGGAUCAUACAAUUGGGUCCCCUUAAUCACAACAGUGUGAGCAGGCAGAUUUACACCCCAUGCCAAAGUUGCUGUGCAAACAAGUACCUUCAAGAGUCCAUCAGAGAAAAGUUGCUCAGUCAAAACCCUAUCAGCACGUAACAUCCCAGCGUGAUGAAUGCCAACAGCAAAUUCAAAAAGUUCAACAACAUCCUUGUUUCUAGACUUAACAACCUCUUUCUUAAUCAAGGAAAAUUGAGGAUGUGCAUCAUUUUUAAAGAGCUCCAAAUCAUCAUACUUUCGAGCAAUCUCAACUAGUUUCUCAGCUGUUUUUGCUGUAUCCUUUCGCGAAUGAACAAAAACCAUUGCCUGAUGACCUUGCCUCAAUGACUCAACAACCUUCCUAUAACAAAUUUCAUUCAAUAACUCAUUGCGAGCUGCAAAGUUCUGCUCACUAAUUCCAAUAUACUGUUGUGCAAGAGGCACAGGACGAUAACUAGAAUCAAAGAAGAAGAGGCCUGUCUCUGGAUUCACUCUAAGAAAUUGAGCAACCUCCAAAUAAUUGGGUAAAGUGGCUGAAAGUCCUACAAUGCGUAUCAUUGUCUGUGUUGACUCCACCUGGCGCAGUGUCCUAGCAACAAGUGCUUCUAUCACAGGGCCUCUAUCAUCGUUCAAAAGAUGCACUUCAUCAAUAAUUAAGAGCUUCACCAGCAUUGAAAGUGACAUGUCACUGCUUUUACGAGUAAUGACAUCCCAUUUCUCAGGUGUUGUCACUAUCAUCUGAGUUUCUUCAAGUUCAUUCUUAGAGAGCUGCAUGUCACCAGUAAGUUCUCUCACAACCAUAUUCAGCGGAGAUAAACGAUGGCUAAAUGUUGAUGUGACCUCUGCAGCUAAUGCCUUCAUAGGAGCAACAUAAACUAUCUUAAAUUCAUCUUUGUGCAAGUAACCAUCCUUGAAGUGCUGUCCAAUCUCAUGCAGAAUAGAAAUCAUAGCUAUAUUUGUUUUGCCAGCUCCUGUUGGCGCACAAACAAGUAUAUUCUCAUUAGUGUAAUAAACAGUUUGAAAUAUCCGGCUCUGGAUUCGGUUCAAUGAUUUGUAUCCAUGAAAUGCAGCUUGAGCAAAAUCAUCUAACUCCUUUAUCUCAAUCAGCUUUUCUCCAGGUUUCAUUUGUGCAGUUGGUGUUGGAGGGAUGACAACUUCCUCAUAGCCCUUGUAAUGUUUCCUGACAGUACCUUGAGGAAGAGCAGUUACUGAUAAUGCAUGGGGCCCUGGGCCAGCGCCAAUCAGAUCGUCCAACAGAUUUUUCCUCUCACUUGCUUGAAGUAAAGAAGAAAAACUUGCAGCUGAUGUGUCAUUAUCAACCCCAUGUUCUGUUCCACGUCUAUUUCGCUUUUCCUCCUUCCGCCGAAGUUUAUCAAUCUGCCUUUCUGAUUCUGUUUGGACGGUAACCUGAGUGCCAUAACUGGGCAUACGUGAUUGAGUGCUUGAUGCCAUUUUAUCUGAUUUCAGUACUGACCAUCCAUGACGGAUUGCGUCAACAAGUUCCUUCCGAUGCGUUAUAAGGUCUUGAACAGUUUCAAAUGCACUAUCCCCAACAAGAUCCAACAAGUCACUGGCUAUCUUAAAUACAGAAGGAAGAAUAAAAAGUAAGAAAUAGUUUCUGACAGUAGGCAUGCUCAAAGUUGGCAUCAACAAAUUCAGAGAAUGUUAACUAUAACCGGUACCUCCUCGCCAGGUUUAUCUGAAUCAAGUACACGGCAUAUAGCCAUUGCCAGAUCAUCUUGGGAAAGCUGCGAAGUACUUUCUCUAACUAUCUGGUCACAUGCAUCUCUUAACCAACUUAAAUUGAAUUUCCCACCAUCAUCAGCAGAAUGAUUCUGGCCACAGUCAUUAUGAUCUUGCCAUCCAUCCUGAAACAAAGAAGAAGAUCCAGUGGUUUCCUCUCCCUCCUCAUCCUCCAAAGUAACAUCCACUAGAAACCUGGCUGGAGUUUGGAAAGCAAGGUCAGCCCCAAAUUCUAGAUCACUGCCGCUUCCAUUCACAUGGCUCUCUAAGACAAGUGCAGACUCAGGGCUGGUAGGUUGCAAACUGGAAAGCCUCUGUGCUAAGGUGGCAACUCUCUGGAUGUUAGCAUCUGAAACCGCAUGACCAGUAAGUUUUUGCAAUUCUGACUUCUUCUUGAGAAUAUUGGAAUGAUAAUUAUCUUCCUCUCCUGGUCCUGGUCCUCCAAAUAGAUGGUAGGCAGUGAGUGCCACCACACGGAACUCUUCAGAUGGCACCUCUCUGUCUAUUAAGUCCACUACUGCCCCAAUAAAAUGCUUGUAAGCUUGUCUCACUUCUGUUGAGGCUUCUUCCCAUCGAUCAACUAUCUUCCUUGCAAGCUCCGAUUCAUUAAGUGAAUUUGCAGUAUUGCUAUGCUUGAGAUGUUUCUGAAGGAUGAUCUUGCGCUGGAGAUAGGCUUGAUCGACGUCGAAUGGAUCUCUGAGAGAGUUUGUCAACCGAGGUAAUUGCAUUAGCAUUUUUCCGCCCGUGAUUGAUACUGAAACCCUAGAAUAUACCGUAAAGAGGAAACAGUGAAGCAGGCGCCACUGCGAACUACCGCCUCUGCAAAUUUUGCAGGUCUGGAUUUUAU
rnacentral:misc_RNA from 1 species